rnacentral:rRNA from 1 species
GCCUACGGGGGGCAGCAGUAGGGAAUUUUCGUCAAUGGGCGCAAGCCUGAACGAGCAAUGCCGCGUGAACGAGGAAGGUCUUCGGAUCGUAAAGUUCUGUUGAAGGGGAAAAAGAGCGGAGAGAGGAAAUGGUCUCCGAUUAAUAUUACCCUUCGAGGAAGUCACGGCUAACUACGUGCCAGCAGCCGCGGUAAUACGUAGGUGGCGAGCGUUAUCCGGAAUGAUUGGGCGUAAAGGGUGCGUAGGCGGCCUGCUAAGUCUGGAGUGAAAGGUACCGGCUCAACCGGUACAGGCUCUGGAAACUG